rnacentral:misc_RNA from 1 species
UACGGAGGGUGCAAGCGUUGCUCGGAAUCACUGGGCGUAAAGAGAGUGUAGGCGGCCUCAUGUGUCUGACGUGAAAGCCCCGGGCUCACCCCGGGAAGUGCGUUGGAAACUGUGAGGCUAGAGUCUUGGAGAGGGAGGUGGAAUUCCAGGUGUAGCGGUGAAAUGCGUAGAUAUCUGGAAGAACACCGGUGGCGAAGGCGACCUCCUGGACGAUGACUGACGCUGAGACUCGAAAGCGUGGGGAGCAAACAGG